GACGAACGCUGGCGGCGUGCCUAAUACAUGCAAGUCGAACGCAGUGGGGACGGGUGAUUAACACGUGGGUAACCUCCCAUCAGAGGUGAUAACACUUGGAAACAGGUGCUAAACCGAUACUGAUGGAUGAACCCGCGGUGCAUUAGCUAGUUGGUGAGGUAACGGCUCACCACGGCCACGAUGCAUAGCUGACCUGAGAGGGUGAUCGGCCACACUGGGACUGAGAAACGGGCCAGACUCCUACGGGAGGCAGCAGUAGGGAAUCUUCGGAAAUGGACGAAAGUCUGACCGAGCAACGCCGCGUGAGUGAAGAAGGGUUUCGGAUCGUAAAACUCUGUUGUUAGAGAAGCGGUAACGAACCAGAAAGGGACGGCUAACUACGUGCCAGCCGCCGCGGUAAUAC
rnacentral:rRNA from 1 species